AGAGUUUGAUCCUGGCUCAGAUUGAACGCUGGCGGCAGGCUUAACACAUGCAAGUCGAGGGGUAUAGUUCUUCGGAAUUAGAGACCGGCGCACGGGUGCGUAACGCGUAUGCAAUCUACCUUUUACAGCGGGAUAGCCCAGAGAAAUUUGGAUUAAUACCGCAUGGUAUUAUAGAAUGGCAUCAUUUUAUAAUUAAAGUCACAACGGUAAAAGAUGAGCAUGCGUCCCAUUAGUUAGUUGGUAAGGUAACGGCUUACCAAGACUACGAUGGGUAGGGGUCCUGAGAGGGAGAUCCCCCACACUGGUACUGAGACACGGACCAGACUCCUACGGGAGGCAGCAGUGAGGAAUAUUGGACAAUGGAGGCAACUCUGAUCCAGCCAUGCCGCGUGCAGGAUGACGGUCCUAUGGAUUGUAAACUGCUUUUAUACGAGAAGAAACCACUCUAGCCACGUGUAGAGUCUUGACGGUAUCGUAAGAAUAAGGAUCGGCUAACUCCGUGCCAGCAGCCGCGGUAAUACGGAGGAUCCAAGCGUUAUCCGGAAUCAUUGGGUUUAAAGGGUCCGUAGGCGGCUUUAUAAGUCAGUGGUGAAAUCUCCCCGCUCAACGGGGAAACGGCCAUUGAUACUGUAAGGCUUGAAUUAUUAGGAAGUAACUAGAAUAUGUAGUGUAGCGGUGAAAUGCUUAGAGAUUACAUGGAAUACCAAUUGCGAAGGCAGGUUACUACUAAUUGAUUGACGCUGAUGGACGAAAGCGUGGGUAGCGAACAGGAUUAGAUACCCUGGUAGUCCACGCCGUAAACGAUGGAUACUAGCUGUUGGGAGCAAUCUCAGUGGCUAAGCGAAAGUGAUAAGUAUCCCACCUGGGGAGUACGUUCGCAAGAAUGAAACUCAAAGGAAUUGACGGGGGCCCGCACAAGCGGUGGAGCAUGUGGUUUAAUUCGAUGAUACGCGAGGAACCUUACCAAGGCUUAAAUGUAGAUUGACCGNUUUGGAAACAGANCUUUCGCAAGACAAUUUACAAGGUGCUGCAUGGUUGUCGUCAGCUCGUGCCGUGAGGUGUCAGGUUAAGUCCUAUAACGAGCGCAACCCCUGUUGUUAGUUGCCAGCGAGUCAAGUCGGGAACUCUAACAAGACUGCCAGUGCAAACUGUGAGGAAGGUGGGGAUGACGUCAAAUCAUCACGGCCCUUACGCCUUGGGCUACACACGUGCUACAAUGGCCGGUACAGAGAGCAGCCACUGGGUGACCAGGAGCGAAUCUACAAAACCGGUCACAGUUCGGAUCGGAGUCUGCAACUCGACUCCGUGAAGCUGGAAUCGCUAGUAAUCGGAUAUCAGCCAUGAUCCGGUGAAUACGUUCCCGGGCCUUGUACACACCGCCCGUCAAGCCAUGGAAGCUGGGGGUGCCUGAAGUCGGUGACCGCAAGGAGCUGCCUAGGGUAAAACACGGUGUGGUUGAUGACUGGGGUGAAGUCGUAACAAGGUAACC
rnacentral:rRNA from 1 species